GCAAGCUGUGAGGGGAGGGUCUUCGAGUUGCUGCCCGCGUGAACUCGGGGGCCCAGUGAAUGUCUGAGAGGAACCUUAACUCCAGACCCUGAGUCAGUCCGAACCCAGGUCUCGCUCGUCUCUGCCUCGACGACUUUGUCUUGUACCACUUUCCCCUCUUUUUCCUCUGGGGUCGUUUUGGUCCCUCCCUCUCUCUUCCCCCUCAAAAAGCCGAAUUUCGCAGAUUCUCAGCUCUGAGGAGAAAAUUUUGCCGGAAAUUAAAUCCUUCCUUCUGUUAGGCAGCAGUCGGUUGAUGGGAGGGGCUAAAGGUCGCUUGGUGUCCUGACAAGAUGCUUUACCGUCUUGCUAUGAUCAUCUUUAAUGCUUUGAGGGAAAUAACUUCCUGCAAACCUAGAACUUUCGGAUUACUAUCCAGCUUGAAGUAAGUAGAAAACACUUAAGUUCUAAAAUAAUGUCACUGGGAGUUAGUGAAAGAGGACAGAAAAAGAAGGUACAAACCAGGUACCUGGAAACCCUGAAUACCAAGGCAUGAAACCUUGUCAACAUAAAUGAACAAGUCCACGUGCCAAGCAAAGAGGGUAAGCUUUCCAUGUGUAUAAUUCUUGUAACCUUGGGUGGAGUUUGUCCUGUAGUCUUUAUCUUGCCAUCUGAGUUUACAAACUCUACCAGCAUAGCUUGCCCAUUACCUUGAUAUGUGAAAAGUUUAGUGAUAAAGACAUUCAGUGACUUCUGUUUCUUCACAGUGGACUGUCAGUACAUGGGCUUCAGUAUUAGAGGUACACCGGUCCUCUUAAAUAUUGUUUGAUGAUGAUACCAAGUUAAGUACUUCAGUAUAUCUUAGGAAAGCAAGCCUAAAAUAAUGCAGCACCAGUAUAAAGUACAGGUAGGCUGUCAUGGGCUUCCUUGGUGGCUGAGAUAGUAAAGAAUCAGCCCACAGUGUGGGAGACCUGGAUUCAAUCCCUGGGUUGGGAAGAUCCCCUGGAGAAGGGAAUGGCUACCCACUCCAGUGUUCAUGCCUAGAGAAUUCCAUGGACAGAGGAGCCUGGUGGGCUACAGUCCCUGGGUUGCAAAGAGUCAGACAUGAGUGGUAUGGUAGGCUUGUAAAUGAACAACCAACUCCGUUUGGAGAUUAAGUACCACUUUUGAUGCCUAAAGUAGAGGCAUUAAGCAGGAAAACAUAAAUGCAUUAAUGGCAAAAGAUACGGAAUUUUUUGCAGAUGUAAAGAACAGUGUUAUUUUUAUUUAUGUGGGCAUUCUGAUGUUUUUGACCACUCUAAUUGAAAGCAUAAAUCAUAUUUACAUGAACUUACAUUGACUCUUUCCCCAGUAUUUGUUCAUAUUUAUAUUUAGUAAUUUUUUUAAAAAAAUUUUUGCUAACCAAUGAUCUUAUUAUUUUUUACAGCUUCUUUAUUCCUUGAUAUAACUAUCUCUUAAACUAGAGGUGCUUCUCUUACUACUUGUUUAUGGAUGCCUUUCUUCAAUUAUCUUCCAUUAUUAGUCUGCUUUUUCUUAUUUUCCAUGUAUAUUAAGUAUUUAGUUAGUGAAUACUUACAGGCUCUGAAGGCAGUCUGGCUGCAACAUCUGUCACUCCUUUAAUUGCCAAGGUUGUUUCAGCUGAUCUGACUAGCUAGGCAAGUGUCCACUUCCCACCUCACCUCUCCAUGUGUGUCCCUCCCAAAGCUGCACACUCAGUCAAAGAGGACAACCUUCCCUAGUAAGGAAGACUGUUCUUUGGUCAGGGGUAUGUGAGUAGUUACAGUCCCCUGCUAGAACCUCCAAAGCACCCACAUGGUACCAAGCAGUAGACUUAAAUGCUAGGAAUAUAGCAAUAGACAAGGCAGACUUCACUCUGUAGUCACAAUUUCUGUUUCCAAAUAAGCUUUUCAUCAGUGCUUUGUUAUUCCAGACUCUCACUUCAUUUCUUACUAGUUUAUUUAUGUAACAAAUGGCAGUAAGUAUCUAGUGUACCCAGCACUGUGUGAUAAUAUAAUUGAGAAAAUAGAUGUCAACAGUUAAAUUAUCACACUGUGGUUAGAAUAAUGCAAUGAUGGCAUGCACUAGAUACAGUGAAAAUGCAAAAGACAGAUCAUCAACUCUAGCUGGAGAAGUGAGGGAGAAAAUCCAGAGAUGAUGAUAUUUGAGCUGAAUUUUUAAAAACUAGAAGGCAAAAGGAUGGAAAAAGACUUGAGGCUGAGGAAAGAGCACUUAGAAGACAUGAAAUAAUGACAUGUUUAAUGUGGUUUUCUCUGCAACAAGUUUUUUGUAAUAUGAGUAUAAGGAACAUGAAGUGCCAUAAAAGGAGAAGAGUCUCUACAGUGGAUGAGAGCCAGACUCUGAACUGUGUUGCUCUUGACUGCCUUGGCAUGCUGAAGACUCACUGCAUGCAUUUUGUUAACUUAAGUGCUUAAUGAGGAAGCAUGGAAAAUGUUCAUCUGUGUCUCACACUUCCUGCUAGUUUCUCCCAGGCUUCACCAUGUCUUGCUUCCUAACUGUAGCUGAACACUUCUCCAUACCUUGCCUUUUAACUCUCCAUGUAAUACUUAAAUGUUAUUUCAGUUAUCACAGCUUUUCUAUAAACCAAAUAAUAUUAUGAAAAAUUUGACAUUCUAAAAUUAGAUUUAUAUUAGCUUUUACUAAAAUAUUGUUGGAUUAAAAAUACCACACUUACUUUAUACAACUGAUAUCUUUAUAUAGCUCUCCUGUUUAUAUUCCUUUUUAUAAUUAAAUAUUUUUUCAAAAGCAUAAAAAUAUUUUGUAAGUAAAACAGUAAAGUUGUGAAAUGUUUUUAUAUUGGUUGCAAACAAAACUUAUAUAGCUUCUUCUGUUUUUAAAAAAUGAGUGUCUGUUUUGAAGAGAUUUCUCCAUAUACAGAGAUACAAAAGCAAGGGGAAGUAAUUUAAAAUACUGUUAAACUAAAUAAAGCCAAUGAAACCUAUAGGAAGGAUCAAGUCAAUAUCUACCCAUUCUUGAACAGGAAUAUCUGAAAAUGGAAGGUGUGUGUAAGCCUUUCCUUAAUUUCGAGAAGCAUGUACUAAGGAUAUAUAUGCUUUUGUCAAACUCCAUUAUAGUCACUGGAAAUAUAAAAAUGAAAAAUACAUUCCAUACUCUCAGUGGAUUUGUUGUCAAGUAUUAAGUUGAACCACAUGAAAUUACAUCUUUUUUUAGGUCAAAAUGUUCAAAUAUCAGUUCAAUCUAAAUAUAUGUGUGUGUGUGUUACAUGUAUAUCAAAUAGGAAUUUACAAUAAUAGAGAUUUGAACAACGUGCCCUGAAAAAGUGCUUUGUGCUGCCCAGAACAGUCUGUGAAAGCUUUCCAGAGAUGACAUUUGAGCUGAAUUUCAGAAAAUGAUUGGGAGUUCACUGUGUGUUCAUGUGAAGUGAAGAGAAUGAGCACAUUUCAACAAUAGGAAACAGCGUGUACAGAGUUGUUGAACAGAGAAAGGGCCUAGCUCAUGCAAAUACUUCAGAUUGGUUGGAAUGCCAUGUAUGUGGUAGGUGACAGAAGAGACAGGCUAAGUAAGCAGAGGGAAGAUGUUAGAAGGUAGGAUGUACCAAGCCACGAUGAUACUGUUCUUGUAAUUGGUGAGCUGUGUAUAGUCCACAGAUUGUGCAACACAACAUGUUAGGGUUCAUAAAGGAAAUGUUACUACUAAUAUGUAUAUUUUAUCUUUGUCUUGUCUUUUUAAAUUUUCUAACUGUAUAGGGACUACAGUGUCUAUAAUUCUUACUGCAGUACUGAAUGUAAAUAAUUUCUAAAUACAUAAAUAUAUAUGUAUUA